UCUUUGCUAGUAUAUCGGUUAGUACACGCGCCUGUCAUAGCUAUUGAUUCAUUUCUUCACGCGCGAAAGCUGGGUUCGACUCCCAGGCAAAGAG